CAGCAGCCGCGGGAAUACGUAGGUGGCAAGCGUUGUCCGGAAUUAUUGGGCGUAAAGGGCUCGCAGGCGGUUUCUUAAGUCUGAUGUGAAAGCCCCCGGCUCAACCGGGGAGGGUCAUUGGAAACUGGGAAACUUGAGUGCAGAAGAGGAGAGUGGAAUUCCACGUGUAGCGGUGGAAUGCGUAGAGAUGUGGAGGAACACCAGUGGCGAAGGCGACUCUCUGGUCUGUAACUGACGCUGAGGAGCGAAAGCGUGGGGAGCGAACAGGAUUAGAUACCCCUGUAGUCCCUGUCUCUUAUAC
rnacentral:rRNA from 1 species